rnacentral:rRNA from 1 species
UACGUAGGUGACAAGCGUUGUCCGGAUUUACUGGGCGUAAAGGGCUCGUAGGCGGCCAACUAAGUCAGACGUGAAAUCCCUCGGCUUAACCGGGGAACUGCGUCUGAUACUGGAUGGCUAGAGUUUGGGAGAGGGAUGCGGAAUUCCAGGUGUAGCGGUGAAAUGCGUAGAUAUCUGGAGGAACACCGGUGGCGAAGGCGGCAUCCUGGACCAACACUGACGCUGAGGAGCGAAAGCCAGGGGAGCAAACAGG